rnacentral:rRNA from 1 species
UACGUAGGGGGCAAGCGUUAUCCGGAUUUACUGGGUGUAAAGGGAGCGUAGGUGGCAUGGUAAGCCAGAAGUGAAAACCCAGGGCUCAACUCUGUGGAUUGCUUUUGGAACUAUCAAGCUAGAGUGCUGGAGGGGUAAGCGGAAUUCCUAGUGUAGCGGUGAAAUGCGUAGAUAUUAGGAGGAACACCGGUGGCGAAGGCGGCUUACUGGACAGAAACUGACACUGAGGCUCGAAAGCGUGGGGAGCAAACAGG